rnacentral:rRNA from 1 species
GACGAACGCUGGCGGCGUGCUUAACACAUGCAAGUCGAACGGUAAGGCCCUUCGGGGUACACGAGUGGCGAACGGGUGAGUAACACGUGGGUGAUCUGCCCUGCACUUCGGGAUAAGCCUGGCAAACUGGGUCUAAUACCGGAUAGGACUCCGGACUGCAUGGUCUGGGGUGGAAAGCUUUUGCGGUGUGGGAUGGGCCCGCGGCCUAUCAGCUUGUUGGUGGGGUGAUGGCCUACCAAGGCGACGACGGGUAGCCGGCCUGAGAGGGUGACCGGCCACGCUGGGACUGAGAUACGGCCCAGACUCCUACGGGAGGCAGCAGUGGGGAAUAUUGCACAAUGGGCGCAAGCCUGAUGCAGCGACGCCGCGUGAGGGAUGACGGCCUUCGGGUUGUAAACCUCUUUCAGCAUCGACGAAGCGAAAGUGACGGUAGGUGCAGAAGAAGGACCGGCCAACUACGUGCCAGCAGCCGCAGUAA